rnacentral:rRNA from 1 species
AGUGAACGCUGGCGGUAGGCCUAACACAUGCAAGUCGAACGGCAGCACAGGAGAGCUUGCUCUCUGGGUGGCGAGUGGCGGACGGGUGAGGAAUACAUCGGAAUCUACUCUGUCGUGGGGGCUAACGUAGGGAAACUUACGCUAAUACCGCACACGACCUACGGGGGAAAGCAGGGGACCUUCGGGCCCUGCGAGAUCGAAUGCGCCGGUGUCGGAUUAGCUAGUUGGCGGGGUACAGGCCCACCAAGGCGACGAUCCUUAGCUGGUCUGAGAGGAUGCUCAGCCACACUGGAACUUAGACACGGUCCAGACGCCUACGGGAGGCAGCAGUUGGGAAUAUUGGACAAUGGGCGCAAGCCUGAUCCAGCCAUACCGCGUGGGUGAAGAAGGCCUUCGGGUUGUAAAGCCCUUUUGUUGGGAAAGAAAUCCAGCUGGCUAAUACCCGGUUGGGAUGACGGUACCCAAAGAAUAAGCACCGGCUAACUUCGUGCCAGCCGCCGCGGUAA